AACGAACGCUGGCGGCAUGCCUAACACAUGCAAGUCGAACGAGACCUUCGGGUCUAGUGGCGCCCGGGUGCGUAACGCGUGGGAACCUGCCCUUAGGUUCGGCAUAACUCCCCGAAAGGGGUGCUAAUACCGGAUAAUGUCUUCGGACCAAAGAUUUAUCGCCUUUGGAUGGGCCCGCGUUGGAUUAGCUAGUUGGUAGGGUAGAAGCUGACCAAGGCGACGACGGGUAGCUGGUUUGAGAGGGUGAGCGGCCACACGGGGACUGAGACACGGCCCAGACUCCGACGGGAGGCAGCAGUGGGGAAUAUGGCACAAUGGGCGGAAGCAUGAUGCAGCAACGCCGCGGGCGGGAGGACGGCGUUCGGGUUGUAAGCCGCUUUCAGCAGGGGCGAAGCUGGUGGUGACGGUACCUGCAGAAGAAGCACCGGCUAACGACGUG
rnacentral:rRNA from 1 species